GCAAAUUUACACCGUAACUUCGGGAGAAGGUGUGCCGCUGGCGGUCAGUAACUUCGCGUUACGAAGCUGUCGGUGGUCACAGUGAAAUGGCGGUUGCGACUGUUUACUAAAAACACAGGACUCUGCGAAGUCGUAAGACGACGUAUAGGGUCUGAUGCCUGCCCGGUGCUGGAAGGUUAAGGGGAUAUGUCAGCGCAAGCGAAGCAUUGAACCGAAGCCCCAGUAAACGGCGGCCGUAACAAUAACGGUCCUAAGGUAGCGAAAUUCCUUGUCGGGUAAGUUCCGACCUGCACGAAGGGCAUAACAACAUCCGCACUGUCUCGACCAGGGACUCAGCGAAAUUACAUUGGGGGUGAAGAUGCCCUCUACCCGCGGAAAGACGGAAAGACCCCAUGAACCUUUACUGCAACUUGGCAGUGAUUUUCGGGUUGUUCUGCGUAGGAUAGGUGGGAGGCUUUGAAGCCGGGCCUCCGGGUUCGGCAGAGCCAACGUUGAAAUACCACCCUGAAUAAUCUGGAAAUCUAACCUGCGCCCAUGAUCUGGGCGAGGGACACUGCCUGGUGGGCAGUUUGACUGGGGCGGUCGCCUCCUAAAUUGUAACGGAGGCGUGCGACGGUUCCCUCAGGCUGAUUGGAAACCAGCCGUAGAGUGCAAACGCAUAAGGGAGCUUUACUGCGAGACUGACAAGUCGAACAGUUGCGAAAGCAGGUGUUAGUGAUCCGGUGGUACCACAUGGAAGGGCCAUCGCUCAUCGGAUAAAAGGUACUCUGGGGAUAACAGGCUGAUCGCGCCUGAGAGUUCACAUCGGCGGCGCGGUUUGGCACCUCGAUGUCGGCUCAUCGCAUCCUGGGGCUGGAGCAGGUCCCAAGGGUUUGGCUGUUCGCCAAUUAAAGUGUACGCGAGCUGGGUCUAAAACGUCGUGAGACAGUUUGGUCCCUAUCUUCCGUGGGCGCAGGACACUUGAGAGGAGCUAUCCAUAGUACGAGAGGACCUGGAUGGACGAACCUCUGGUGCUCCGGUUGUCACGCCAGUGGCAUAGCCGGGUAGCCAUGUUCGGAACAGAUAACCGCUGAAGGCAUAUAAGCGGGAAGCUGGCCUCAAGACUAGGUGUCCCUGACGCAAGUCACUAAAGGCCCCUCGAAGACUACGAGGUUGAUAGGCUCGGUGUGGAAGCGCUGCGAGGCGCGGAGCUAACGAGUACUAAUAGGCCGUGCGACUUGACCUC
rnacentral:rRNA from 1 species